rnacentral:rRNA from 1 species
AAACGAUGCCGAUGUCGUGGUGCCGAAUAAUGGCGACGCGAAAGAGAAAUCGAGUAGGGCCCUGGGGAGAGUACACGCGCAAGCGAGAAAUUUAAAGGAAAUUGACGGAAGAACACCACAAGGAGUGGAGUGUGCGGCUUAAUUUGACUCAACGCGGGACAACUUACCGGGCCCGACGACCGUAAGAGUGUGACACACGAUAGGUCGAAGAGUGGUGCAUGGCCGUUAACGACGAGUGGAGUGAUCUUUGGGUUAAGUCCGUAAAUUAGUGAGACCUCAGCCGUAAGGGACAGGUGCGCAAAGCACAGGAAGGAUGGGUCAAGGACAGGUCAGUGAUGCCCUUAGAUGGUCCGGGCUGCACGCGCACUACAGUGGUCGCCGAAAUUACCUGAUAAUUUUAAAGGCGAUCGAGAGGGAAUGAGCUUUGUAAGAGGCUCGGGAACGAGGAAUUGCUAGUAAUCGCGGACUCAUUAAGACGCGAUGAAUACGUCCCUGUUCUUUGUACACACCGCCCGUCGUUAUCGAAGAUGAAGACAGGCGCGAACGAUCUUACCAGAAAGUGAGCGCAGGUCUUUAGAUCUGAUACAAGUCGUAACAAGGUAGCUGUAGGAGAACCUGUAGCUGG